rnacentral:lncRNA from 10 species
GUUUCAAAAUUACAGGAGGAAGCAGCCAAUGGGCUUAGCAGGAGGAAGAAGCCAAUGGGCUUAGCUUGGGCCACAUGCCCACCCCUUAGGUCAUGGAGAAUGGAACACCUUGAAUGAUAUUAUCAUCACAAUGCUGGUGUGCUUUACCACAGAUGCAUUACCUUCUUUAAUGAGAUCCAAGAAAUGGAUUCUAGAAUCACAGAGUUUCAGACCUUCAACUGAAAUCAUGAAUCAUUUCUAAAACUUCCCAAGCCAAUAAGAAUCCAGGUGCUCUUUGGACACUUCCAAUAAUAGGAAAUCUCACUACUUCAGGAUAUCUUCAUU